ACCUAAAUAGGUGGAGUGAAGGGCGGAACAAAAUCUUUGCCCCAACGGCCAAAUUUGGUUGGGCCACCCCACCUGACUAUAUUUACUACUCACAGUGCCAACCGACAUAAAAAAAGGGUUAAUUUAACGAAGGCUCUCCUAAAUAGGUGGAGUGAAGGGCGGAACAAAAUCUUUGCCCCAACGGCCAAAUUUGGUUGGGCCACCCCACCGGACUAUAUUUACUACUCCCAGUGCCAACCGACACUCCACGCUCCUCACUCCUCACUCCUCACCCUUUGCCUUUUUUUCUUUCAAAUAUACAGAUCAAGCCCUCGAAGUCACUCUUGAUUACACUUUCUUCCCUGUCCAUAAGGAAUAGUCAAAUUGAGAAUUUAUGAUGGGAUUGAGUCAGAGCAAUCAUUCAGGAAGUGAUGCAAAUGAAUCUUCAUUACUUGAUACAGAAAUUAACGGCACAUAUAUAAACACGCAAAUUUCUGUUAUCUCAAUGAAUUCCAGUCAGGAUUCUUCAUUUUGUCAACGAUCCAUUAUGAAGGAAAUAGCUCCAGGUGAGUCAAACAGGACUGAUGGCGGCGUGGUAUUCCAAGCAGCAAACUGUGGAUGUGCCUUAAUUGACACAAGUCCAGAAUUACGUCAGGCUGUCUGCUAAAGAAGUUGAUGAGUUGACAUCGCGACCCAUCCAGCAGGCUGGGGUUUCUUCCCAUAUGAAGCUUCUAAACUGGAACACACCGAUAAGGCUUGUCAAAGUUACACCACUUCUGACUUCACUGCGGCAUGAAACACUUCUAAAUUGGAAAUCAUUGAUACUCGAUAGGGCUUCUAAAAAUUGCACCACUUUCAUGGCUUCACUGCGGGCUACAUGAAUCAACUGUUUAGUGAAGGAACACGUGAACGACAUAGUAUUGCUGCACCUUCACAGACUAAACAGCGACCUCUCACCGAUACAACAUAGGCCAAAGAUCAGAUUUUCUUCUCUCAAAUUUGCCCUCAAACAAUUCCACUCCUUUGAAACCCCUUCUAGAAGAAUCUCCAAUUUCCCCCAGGAAACUCAAGGUACAGUUGAUGUUCCUCACGAUUUGAGCAGUUCCAUCAGCUCUGACUUUGCUCAGAUGUUUUCCUUGCUUCAGAGCAUUUUCAAGAUCUUACUUCGUAUCUACAAAAAGAUACUAUUGUUUCUACCUCCUUCGAUCCGUUCCAAACUGGACCGUACUGUUGUUGGAGUCUUACUUCUUGCUGUUUUUCUGGGGUUUAAGGAGAUUCUUGAGGGGAUUAAGACAAGAAGAUUCGUUGUCUCCAUUGUUAUUCGUUAUUGUCAUGGACACUGGGUAAAAUGUUGGAUAAAGUUGUCAAUGAGGGCUGCAUAUUAGGUUUCAUAAUGGGUAAUCUAGAGGCGAUUAUUGGGAGCGGUUUUGAAUAUUCUACUAUUGGUGGAUGUGCUAGGCUGUAAGCAGGGUUCACUUCCAAUGAAAUACUUAGGUCUUCCUUUGGGUGCUCACUUCAAAGAUAGGUCAAUUUGGAAUCCAAUUUUGGAAAAAGUUGAAAGAAAACUUGCGGGAUGGAAACGUUAUUAUUUAUCCAAGGGAAGUUGUUUGCACUCUUGGAGUUGGAGGUGUAGUUUUUGUAAGCAUCUUACUUUGCUUGUGGGCUAUGGACUGUUAAAAGCCGGAAUUUUCAGCUCCAGAAUUAGCAAACGUUCAAAAAUAUCAGAAAAAAUUCAGGAUGAUUGAUGCAAGGAACACUGGAAAAAUUAUUUCAAUUUUUUUUUUCCAGAUUUUACUUUUGAAUUAUGAACCUAAUUUGUUUUUAAUUUUGUUGAGGAUUCUGUUUUCAAAAGGGCCCUUGUAAACCGCAGUUAUGAUGGAUGAAAUUUUAUGCUGAAAUUUUCAA